UACAGACGGUCCAAACGUUAUUCGGAAUCACUGGGCUUAAAGCGCGUGUAGGCGGGACGGCACGUCGGUCGCUGAAAGCCCCCGGCUCAACCGGGGAACGGGCGCCGAUACGACCGCCCUGGAGGGACGUAGGGGGACCUGGAACUUCCGGUGGAGCGGUGAAAUGCGUUGAGAUCGGAAGGAACGCCCGUGGCGAAAGCGAGGUCCUGGACGUCUGCUGACGCUGAGACGCGAAAGCCAGGGGAGCGAACGGG
rnacentral:rRNA from 1 species